CUGAACCGGAGGGAGAGCGGGCUGGAAGUGAGGUGGUAGUGGAUGCGUGAAUGUCUGAGUGGGUGCGUGAAUGUGUGAGUGCGUAGGCCUACUUACUCCAGCCUGAAAGCUUCCUCCUGCGGCUUGAAUCCUGAAAGUGAUGAAUUGAUCAGAUAGACGAGGCCGGGCUUGUCCCGCGCCAUUGAUUAUCGAGGCGAUUCUGAUCUGA
ensembl:scaRNA Small Cajal body-specific RNA 2